GACGAACCACCCAAACGUUAUUCGGAAUCACUGGGCUUAAAGAGUGCGUAGGCGGUCAUGUAAGUAGGGUGUGAAAUCCCACAGCUCGAACUGUGGAACUGCGCUCUAAACUACAUGACUAGAGGGAUAUAGAGGUGAGCAGAACUGAUGGUGGAGCGGUGAAAUGCGUUGAGAUCGGAAGGAACGCCCGUGGCGAAAGCGGGCUCCUGGACCCCACCUGACGCUGA
rnacentral:rRNA from 1 species